rnacentral:rRNA from 1 species
UACGGGGGGGGCAAGCGUUGUUCGGAAUUACUGGGCGUAAAGGGCUCGUAGGUGGCCAACUAAGUCAGACGUGAAAUCCCUCGGCUUAACCGGGGAACUGCGUCUGAUACUGGAUGGCUUGAGUUUGGGAGAGGGAAGCGGAAUUCCCGGUGUAGUGGUGAAAUGCGUAGAUAUCAGGAGGAACACCGGUGGCGAAGGCGGGUCUCUGGGCCGAUACUGACGCUGAGGAGCGAAAGCGUGGGGAGCGAACAGG